CAAGCGGUGGAUGAUGUGGUUUAAUUCGAUGCAACGCGAAAAACCUUACCUACCCUUGACAUCCCAGGAACCUCGCAGAGAUGUGAGGGUGCCCGAAAGGGAACCUGGAGACAGGUGCUGCAUGGCUGUCGUCAGCUCGUGUCGUGAGAUGUUGGGUUAAGUCCCGCAACGAGCGCAACCCUUGCCACUAGUUGCUACAUUCAGUUGGGCACUUUAGUGGGACUGCCGGUGACAAACCGGAGGAAGGUGGGGAUGACGUCAAGUCCUCAUGGCCUUUAUGGGUAGGGCUACACACGUCAUACAAUGGCGCGUACAGAGGGCAGCCAACCCGCGAGGGGGAGCUAAUCUCAGAAAGCGCGUCGUAAUCCGGAUUGCAGUCUGCGACUCGACUGCAUGAAGUCGGAAUCGCUAGUAAUCGCGGAUCAGCAUGUCGCGGUGAAUACGUUCCCGGGCCUUGUACACACC
rnacentral:rRNA from 1 species